rnacentral:misc_RNA from 1 species
UUGGAAUGUUCUGUUUGAUCUUUGGUUUAUCGUUUGACAAUCUCGUCACUUAAGAUGGAUUUUUGCUUAGUUUGCAGUAUUUCUUUUAUCAGCAUCUCUGUUAGCCUUCUGUGUAGUGUAAUUGCCUAUGCUUUAUGGCGGUGUAUUUUCCAUGUCUAUUGGAUUGGUUUAAAAUAACAUUAAUUCUUUUUGCCGUAUCCCAGGAAGUUUUUAUAGAAAUUCUGCGAGCAUUUGGCUAGCAUUGCAAUUAAGAGUUGCCUGGCUGCUUUUAUUUUGAGAUUGUUUUUGUAUUUUCUUGAUCCUGGUCUAUGUUGAAUCCUUUUAUGAUUUUCUUAAGGUAGUUGAAAUAUGUUGUCAAGCCCAAUUUGUGAUGUUUUGGCGCAAUGCUGGAUUUGGUGUGGUUGCGUGCAUGACUUUCUUUGAUGUUCCACUACUUAACUUUUGUCAUAUCUUGAUGUGUUGGAAAAAUUAUAAGCUUGAACUGGAG